rnacentral:tRNA from 1 species
AGCUGAGGGGUUCAGUGGAAAGAGCACGGGACUGGGAGUCCAGAAACCUGGGUUCUAAUCCCGAUUCAGCCU